rnacentral:rRNA from 1 species
GGCUUAGAGUUUGAUCAUGGCUCAGGACGAACGCUGGCGGCGUGCCUAACACAUGCAAGUCGAACGGAGAUAAGCGCUGAUGAAGUAGCUUGCUAUUGAUUCUUGCUUAUCUUAGUGGCGGACGGGUGAGUAACGCGUGAGCAACCUGCCUUUCAGAGGGGGAUAACGUCUUGAAAAGGACGCUAAUACCGCAUGACAUUGCGAGAUCACAUGGUCUUGCAAUCAAAGGAGCAAUCCGCUGAAAGAUGGGCUCGCGUCCGAUUAGAUAGUUGGCGGGGUAACGGCCCACCAAGUCGACGAUCGGUAGCCGGACUGAGAGGUUGAACGGCCACAUUGGGACUGAGACACGGCCCAGACUCCUACGGGAGGCAGCAGUGAGGGAUAUUGGUCAAUGGGGGAAACCCUGAACCAGCAACGCCGCGUGAGGGAUGACGGUCUUCGGAUUGUAAACCUCUGUCCUCUGUGAAGAUAAUGACGGUAGCAGAGGAGGAAGCUCCGGCUAACUACGUGCCAGCAGCCGCGGUAAUACGUAGGGAGCAAGCGUUGUCCGGAUUUACUGGGUGUAAAGGGUGCGUAGGCGGUUCGGCAAGUCAGAGGUGAAAUCCAUGGGCUUAACCCAUGAACUGCCUUUGAAACUGCCGAACUUGAGUGAAGUAGAGGUAGGCGGAAUUCCCGGUGUAGCGGUGAAAUGCGUAGAGAUCGGGAGGAACACCAGUGGCGAAGCGGCUACUGGGCUUUAACUGACGCUGAGGCACGAAAGCAUGGGUAGCAACAGGAUUAGAUACCCUGGUAGUCCAUGCCGUAAACGAUGAUUACUAGUGUGGGGGGUCUGACCCCCUUCGUGCGAGUANACAUAGUAAUCACUGGGGA